rnacentral:lncRNA from 1 species
GUUCCAUUUUGGGUCGGAAGAACUAGAAAACUCAAAAGAUCGCCACUCUUCUUGUGAGGAAACCAGCAAAGGGAGAAUGUUGCACUAUGUUACCCAAAGAGAGGAUCAAAAAAUCACUAAAACACAACACAAAGAAAGCAAAUUUUAAUCAGUUGAACGACAAGAUAAUCGAUAAAAAAACUAAAGAAAGUUUAAACGAUAAGCAUAAAAAAAACCACGCACCUGGGAUGCAAGAGAGAAAAAGGAGAGGACGAAGACAAUGACGUUAUGAGAAACGACAAUGCAAUGCCGCAAGAGAUAAAAAGUAGAGGUGCGCAAGCGAGUAAAAGAAGAGGAGAAGCAGAGAAAAAGGAGAAGAGAUGAAGACNCGAUCAGAAACUGAAUGGCGAGAAGAGUCCGUGGUCUAUUUAAAAUGAAAUGGGGCGUCGGUGUUUCAGGGGAUCCGACGUCUAUGAAGCUGAAAAGAUUGACGUUUUGGUUUCCUUUCAGGGUAGUUCACGCGGUGUCCCUCACAGCCGACGUCUAAAACCCUCGAAUUUGGUGAAAAUACAGAAACGUAGACGUCGGUGCCCCUCAGAACUGACGUCUACAUUGAAGAAUUUU